ensembl:ncRNA lncRNA:CR45441 long non-coding RNA:CR45441
GGCGCAGUGGCUAAAUAGACGCGAAGAAAGCAGUACUGGCGACUGGAGGUUACGACGCGCGUUGCGAUUUCAACUGGGGUUUUUAAAGCGGUUAAGUGUCCAGUAACCAGCGUAACGGCUUUGCGAAACGGGAAAACAAAAGUGACCAGUGGGUGAACGAGUGGCGGCAGGAGGCAAGCGGUGCGGAAGUGGGUUACAAGAGGAAGCAAAGGAAGUCAGGAAGUCCAGCUGACGAAAAAAAAGCAGUUUCAACGGUCAAUGAAGCAGUGCAUAGAACGGAACAAGCAGCACUUUUAGGAAGCAGGAUAGCAAGCAGUUUAAGGCAUUUUAGUUUUACCUCCUCAAAUCCCUUGAGAAAACCUGUGCCAAGGUUAAAGCCUCCAAAAGCUUUAUUAAAGGAAUUAAAAU